rnacentral:misc_RNA from 1 species
AAAAAAUCCACCGAUAAACUAAAAGUGGUAUAAAAGCAAGAGGAGAAGAGACUAAUCUUCACAACCCUGAAUCCAAAUACACCCAAAAACUCUCAAAGUGUAUAUUACUUAUAUGGCUGCUUCAUGCAAAAUACAAAUGGUUCUCUUCCUUUAGAUGGUACUCUCAACAACUUACAAAAGUCGCUAAGAAUUGAAAAAAAGGCUAAAUAGCUAUAACUGCUUUA